GACGAACGCUGGCGGCGUGCCUAAUACAUGCAAGUUGAGCGCUGAAGGUUGGUACUUGUACCGACUGGAUGAGCAGCGAACGGGUGAGUAACGCGUGGGGAAUCUGCCUUUGAGCGGGGGACAACAUUUGGAAACGAAUGCUAAUACCGCAUAAAACUUUAAACACAAGUUUAAGUUUGAAAGAUGCAAUUGCAUCACUCAAAGAUGAUCCCGCGUUGUAUUAGCUAGUUGGUGAGGUAAAGGCUCACCAAGGCGAUGAUACAUAGCCGACCUGAGAGGGUGGAUCGGCCACAUUGGGACUGAGACACGGCCCAAACUCCUACGGGAGGCAGCAGUAGGGGAAUCUUUCC
rnacentral:rRNA from 1 species